ACUCAAAUGAAUUGACGGGGGCUCACACAAGCGGUGGAGCAUGUUGCUUAAUUCGAGGCAACGCGAAGAACCUUACCUGGGCUUGACAUGGCCGGAUUAACUCCUGGAAACAGGAGCCACGCCCGCAAGGGUGGAACGGUCACAGGUGCUGCAUGGCUGUCGUCAGCUCGUGCUGUGAAGUGUCGGGUUAAGUCCUCUAACGAGCGCAACCCCUGUCGCUAGUUGCUCACGGGUAAAGCCGAGUACUCUAGCGAGACUGCCGCUGUAAGGCGGAGGAAGGUGGGGAUGACGUCAAGUCCUCAUGGCCCUUACGUCCAGGGUUGCAAACGUGCUACAAUGGCGUGUACAGAGCGACCCAAGGCCGCAAGGCGGCGGAAAUCGCAAAAAGCACGCCCCAGUUCGGAUUGCAGGCUGCAACCCGCCUGCAUGAAGUCGGAAUCGCUAGUAAUCGGAGAUCAGCUACGCUCCGGUGAAUAUGUUCCUGAGCCUUGUACACACCGCCCGU
rnacentral:rRNA from 1 species